rnacentral:piRNA from 1 species
GUCGAUGCGUGGAGUGGACGGAGCA